CCUACGGGAGUCAGCAGUGGGGAAUAUUGCACAAUGGGGGAAACCCUGAUGCAGCGACGCCGCGUGAGUGAAGAAGUAUCUCGGUACGUAAAGCUCUAUCAGCAGGGAAGAAAAUGACGGUACCUGACUAAUAAACCCCGCCUCACUACGUGCCAGCAGCCGCGGUACUACGUAGGUGGCAAGCGUUAUCCGGAUUUACUGGGUGUAAAGGGGGCGUAGACGGCAGGACAAGUCUGGAGUGAAAUCCCGGGGCUUAACCCCGGAACUGCUUUGGAAACUGUGCGGCUGGAGUGCAUGAGCGGUAAGCGGAAUUCGUAGUGUAGCGGUGAAAUGCGUAGAUAUUAGGAGGAACACCGGUGGCGAAGGCGGCUUACUGGACUGUAACUGACGUUGAGGCUCGAAAGUGUGGGGAGCAAACAGGAUUAGAUACCCCUGUAGUC
rnacentral:rRNA from 1 species